CCUACGGGUGGCAGCAGUGAGGAAUAUUGGUCAAUGGGCGAGAGCCUGAACCAGCCAAGUAGCGUGCAGGAUGACGGCCCUACGGGUUGUAAACUUCUUUUAUACGGGAAUAAAACGCCUUACGUGUGGGUCUUUGCAUGUACCGUAUGAAUAAGGACCGGCUAAUUCCGUGCCAGCAGCCGCGGUAAUACGGAAGAUCCGGGCGUUAUCCGGAUUUAUUGGGUUUAAAGGGAGCGUAGAUGGCAUGUCAAGCGUGCUGUGAAAUUUUCGGGCUCAACCCGGGCCUUGCAAUGCGAACUGGCGGGCUUGAGUACGCGUAAAGCAGGCGGAAUUCGUCGUGUAGCGGUGAAAUGCUUAGAUAUGACGAAGAACCCCGAUUGCGAAGGCAGCUUGCUGCAGCGGAACUGACGCUGAUGCUCGAAAGUGUGGGUAUCGAACAGGAUUAGAUACCCUUGUAGUC
rnacentral:rRNA from 1 species